rnacentral:rRNA from 1 species
UACGUAGGGGGCAAGCGUUAUCCGGAUUUACUGGGUGUAAAGGGAGCGUAGACGGCAGAGCAAGUCUGAAGUGAAAGCCCGCGGCCCAACUGCGGGACUGCUUUGGAACUGUAUAGCUAGAGUGUCGGAGAGGCAGGCGGAAUUCCUAGUGUAGCGGUGAAAUGCGUAGAUAUUAGGAGGAACACCAGUGGCGAAGACGGCCUGCUGGACGAUGACUGACGUUGAGGCUCGAAAGCGUGGGGAGCAAACAGG